UAAAUGGAUAUACGGUUGAGCAAUCUGUGU
rnacentral:piRNA from 1 species